rnacentral:lncRNA from 1 species
UGGAUCAUUCACUUAUUUGCAUCAGUCCCCUACGUAGAGGAUGCGUAGGCCGAAGCUGACUACUGAGAUACACUACUGAGGACUUAUACGGAAAUGAUGAUUAAGGCCAUGGUAUAUGGGGUUUCGGGAGUGGUUCCUAUAUUUACGAAGUCUAUGGUGCUAAAAUAAUACUGAUGUUUCGCAAAGUUCUCCCAAGUCAAAUACGGAAAUGAUGAUUAAGGCCAUGGUAUAUGGGGUUUCGGGAGUGGUUCCUAUAUUUACGAAGUCUAUGGUGCUAAAAUAAUACUGAUGUUUCGCAAAGUUCUCCCAAGUC